UUGUGGCGUUCUUCCUGCACCAUAAACAUCUGAGGCAGACACACACCCUCCAUAGUCCAGCAGAGAAACACAACCGGUUACACCUCAGAUAAAAUGAACACUGAAAAUUUUCCCUGUCCUUGCAACCACGUUAUCAAAGGUCAUCAUUGCUCCUUUAUAGUUGGAUAGAGCUUUUUGGCAGUGGGGGGAAGAGCUGGGGUUUGAUCCAUUGGAAAAUGACACAAAGAUAUGACUCACGCUGGAGAGUUUUUGUGGUUAUAUGGUCAACUGUUAUUUAAGGUCUACAGUUCAGUAGUUUCUUUGCCUUUGGCAGCAUAAUACUAUAAGGACACACAAAGAGUGGAGAACUCAGAAUCAACAAACUGGAGGCCAGAUGGUUGCUGCACAGAAGGACUAGAGUGCCAUGCUACUCCUGAAUCUGACUUUGCCCUUGAGGAACAUCCAUCAAUCAGGAAUUUGUGUGACAACAACAACCAUACAUUUUCCCAAUGCUCUGAACACACAAAAGAGACACAUCACGCUGGCCUUAAUGAAGAAUCAGAGAGUGAAGAUCCUCUUCACAUAGAUACAUUUGGUCACCCCCUACAUGAGUUUGUUGAGGAGGGAACUUAAGAUCAUAACCAGUCAUCUGAUGAUGACCUGUCCUUUGAUGAAGACCUAUUAUGUGAAGACAGUGCAGAAGCGAACAACUUGGUUUAAAAUGCCUUGGAAGUGUUUUUUUGGAAAGGACCAACAUGUAAAAUCAAUUAAAAUGAGCAUGGUGUAUCUGA